UCCUGUCUCGUUAUUCCACCCCAGAGGCCUAAGUGUUCACAGUCUUGUUUUCUUCCGCGAGCUCGGGAACCGACACCCUGAAUCCUGUCCCCAAGCAGGACCGCCUGAUGCUUCCAGGUGGCUAGAGAAGGGUCAGUCUUCGGAGCCUCCAAGCUGACAAAGGUGGGACUUCAAAUGUCGAGAAACCUAAGUCUGGUUCUAGAGGUGGCCCCCAGGUGGCUUGCUAGGAAGAAGCAGCAGAUUGCAAAAAUCCGUAGGUGAUGGGGAGUGUGGAGAAUGAAGGCAAGUAAGUUCUGGCGUUUCGCCUUUUGACCCCAACGCAACCUACGCGGAUUCUGGAGCUGAACCGAGUGGAUGACUGUGCGGAGACCCAUCUGGCCACGGAGCAGAGGCACAGACCUGGAUACUCCUCACCCGACAGGGUCCAUCGGAAGCCGACUGGCCUCGUGGACGACAGCAGGCGCUGGCCCCAGCUCCCUCACUCUGGCUGGAGACUGCCUAGCAAUGUCCUGGUCACAUGCAUCCUCUCAGACACAGCACCGAGUCUGCUACAAGUAAAUGUUUCUUGCUCAGUAGCUCCUGAUGGACAUGGUGGAGAGAGAAUUCCCAGACAGCGAGAUUGUUAAAAAAAAAAAAAAAAAAGCAGAUCUAAGAAAUAGCCUAUUGUUCUUUGCUGAAGUGUAUAGCAACAUCAGACAAGAUUCCUGGAGGAACAGCAGCUAUUAUGGAUUUAUGAUGCUGAAAACCACAGAACAAAGACAACUGAGAAAAGAAGACCGAAGGAGCCUGGGAACUGCAUGACAUUCUUGAGCAGUGGUGCCAGCCCUGGAUGAUUUACCUCAGCCCUUCUUACUGGUAGCUGGUUUUUCUUCCCUAUCUUUUUCACCACUGGGCGUGCAGGUGAUGCCUCUCCAUAGAUGGUUUAGGAUGAAGAAACUGAACAGGGCCAUGAUCCUCACCUGUGAUUUCCUGGCUGCCACCCAGGGGGUCUUUCCUCCUCUCUUCUUGGGUAGAAAUAGAACUGCCUGGCGAGCCAAAUGUUCUUGUCAGUGCACUUUUCACCAACUGUACCAGUAAGAAAAUGUGUUGGAUGCUCAAACACAAACCAAGUAAGACCUUGUUUAAAAAGGGAGGGCUACAUGUCAUUACCAGCCUGCAGCCUCAGUGCUCACUGCCCCGUCUCCCUCAGGACCACUCCUUCUCGCUGACACCUACCAACAUUUACUAUGCUGUCUUUAGAACUGGAGCCUCUGAAAACCAGAGGGUAGGCCCUAAAAAAGAAGGUCGUUAUCAUUCUCUCUCUUUCUGUCAUUCUUCCCUGAUUUAGCCUACUUCAUACUGGGUGGAAUUUUCAUAAUCAGCGCCCUUCUCCUCUCGCUCUGCUUGAGCCUUUUAUUGGUGACAUUCCCUCAGUUGUUCCCUAAGACCCAGAAACAGUAUCUUUCCUGGGCUUUUGUCUUCAUUGUCUUCAUUUUGUCUUCAUUUCUGAAGUGAAUUUUGAAUGUCUUGGCGUUGGGGUUAGGGUGGAAUUUUAGUGAAAUUAGUUCCUAGAAAAUUUUCAGGAGGAUGCAUAGGAAAAGAACAAUCAAGGAGAAAAUGGUCUCAAAGGGAAAAGGAGAAUGAGGGGCAGUGAUAAUGAAAUAAUUUUGGUUCAUUGAUCAUGAUACUGGACUAAAACCCUUAAGUAUUGGGAUAGGCUAAUCAAAAGAUCCAUCACUUUUCCCUUUUUUGAGUUGACAGGUACUUUGGUGUCCCUCUCCUUACUUAUGCACUAUAUGCAAAUUUUGGAAGUGAGUCGGGAACCUGAUCCACCAAAAGUCACCUAUAAGCUUCCUUAUGUCAUAAAUUUAUCCAGCUCUUCCUUAUUUCUGCUAUCUGGAGCCCUCUGCCGUCACAAUUCCCGGUGUUUUGGAGCUGUUGGGGUUUUAAAACCUCAGCUGAGCCACAUGGAUACCAUCUCAUCAGAAGAGAUCAAACUGAGCCCCAAACCAAGCAGAAAGAGUGGACACAAUGAAGCGGACUCUCCACCCAUAACUGGGGAUUCCUUAGCCACUCGCAUUUAUUCCAAAAGCAAUGACAUUGAUUCUCGAAAGAACUGACUUCUUCCCUUUGUUCUGAUCAUUUAUCUUUCUAGAGCCCAGGACCAUAGGUGUGUUUCAUGGCAGAGAAAAGUGCAGAGGGGUAGAUUUGUGUGUGUGAAGGAGAAGCAGGUAGGCAGUCUUUUGUUUUGGCUCCUAAAUUAUUACAUAGGUGCCUGUUCUCCAUUAUCUCUACAAAUAUACCCUUCGGGGGCUUCCUAUUCUGCAGGGAUAUUUUGUUGUCCAUAACAAAGCUCCUUCCCCAUCUGUGAGGUUUGUUUUGAUAAAAAUCCUCUUCCCUCUGGGAGUGUUGUGACUGGUAAUUUUUUCCCGCAGUGGUAUUGCAGCAAAUGUUGCUGGUGGGUACAGUCUAUAUGUUUGGUGGGGAGGUCUUCCUCACUCUGGUGUCUGGUCAUCUAAUGUUGCCAGAAUUCCCAAGACGAUAGGCUGAAAUGUUGCCUAUUUUAUUGAGAAUGUCUAACACAGAUGUUUGAUUGAUAAAAGUGUUGAUGAGAUGAUACAGAGUUUUUAGAUAAGUGAGAAAUGAAUGUCUAGAAUAUUUGAAAAGCUAAAUAAAUUAGGAACAUUUUCAUUAAGGACAGCUUAUAAAGGAAGAGAAUGGUUUUCUUUUAAGGGGCAAAGGAAAUAAUAUUUAUUGAGCACUUACUGUUACCAGGCAUUAUACAGGCUACAUACUCUGUGUGUGUGUGUGUGUGUGUGUGUGUGCGUCUGUCUGUCUGUCUGUCUGUUCCCAGCUCCUCCGUGGGGUAGGGAUUGUUACCUCCAUUUUAAUAAUGAAGACAUUGUGGCUCAGAGAGAGUAAGAAAGUCAAAAUUUGGAGACAAGAUUAUUGGGCUCCAGUGUCCACAUGUCCAUGCACUUUUCCCUUUCAAAGGUCUCAGGUCAGGGGUAGACUCAUUUGGAUCUAGGCAGCCUGCUCCAGAGUCCUUAUUCUGAACUACUAUACUCCACUGCCUUUGGAGAGCAAAUUUAUCUUUUUACCAGAGAGUGGCCACUUUCAGAGGAAUUUUAUCAAUAUAAUUAAGUUCAUAGAGUCUUAGUAAUAAACCAGAAUGUUAAUUGUUUUGAUUUUCCUCAUCACUAAUACUGAAUAUGGACUGUAGGUCAGAUGACUUCUAUGCCAGGUAAGGAACUAUGAGCAUCAACCUUAAGCUGUCAGGGUAAGAGAAUCUAAAGUUUUACAGUAAGUAUUUCAUAAUUUACUUCAUCCUCCCCAAUUGUGCUGGAUGUAUCUUUGGUAUAAAGACCCCCAGGAUUGAUUACUAGUUUUUUUUCACUCUUUAUUUCUGAAUUUACUUUUCCCCCUUUUUUAAAUAUAUAACUAUUAUAGAGGAUAACUGUCAAAAUAUAUAAAACAUGGCUAAGAAACAUAUAUAUAUAUUUCCACAUUACAAAGAUAUAAACACUUUUAAGUAAAUUUUAUUGUAUAUAUACUUUUGGACAUCUAUAUGCAUAUGCUGUGUGUGUACAUUUUUGAAAGGAAUUACCGUCCUAUAAAAACUUUUUGAUCCUUUUUUUUUUUUACUUAAUGUUAUUUCUUAAACAUCUUUGCUGAAGCUAUUUAUUACAUUAGGAAGAGCAAGGGUCAAUAAAUAUUUGUUGAAUGAAUAUACAAGAUCUUUUGAUCACUAGCUGCUUCCAAGCCCCUACUGCAGAUAUCUUUGAAUACCGUGUUGCUUCAGGCAGAAAGUGUUUUGUCCCUCAUUAGAGCAAAAGCUAUAUAUAUAUAUAUUAUAUAUAUAUGGUUUAGUUUUCUUCUCCUCCAUCUAUUCCAAUAAACCUACACGUUGUUCUCAUUGCCUCCAACAGAGGUACAAUGGAAAAGAAGUUGCCAGGUUCAACUCCUUCCUGGUUGGAGAAACUCACUAGAAAAUAAACCGCACUUGUAAGCAGUAUGCAAACUUGAAAGUGCUAUUUGUAAACUAAGUACUGAUAAAAUAGAGCUCUCCAAAGUACAUUAAGUUAAAAAAGAACUGCAGAAUAAUGAGUAAAUAUUUUACCUUUUAUGUUAGGUAAAAUAAGACUAUGUUCAUAUUUGCAAGCAUCAUUUUUAAAAAGUCAAGAAAGGUGCAUAAGAAACUUAAGGUAAAGGUGUUGGUGAGAAUGGGGAUGGUGGGGGAGGGGGGGAAGAAGGGGCCAAAGACUUUUCAUUAUGCCUUUUAAUACUUUCUCAUUUUUGAACCAUGUGAAUGUACUACUCAUAUAAAAUGACUUUAAGGAAAAAUACUGUGUUUUUACUGUACUAAGGUUGAUGAAAGUUGUUCCUUCUUAUUUUUAAAUCUUGUUUUCUCUUACACUGAACUGGUGCGAUGGUUGAUUUAUGUGUCAGCUUGACUGGGCCAUGGGAUUUCCUGAUAUUUAGUAAAACAUCAUUCUAGGUG